rnacentral:hammerhead_ribozyme from 1 species
AUCCAGUAGGCGAGUCCCAAAUAGGACGAAACGCGAGUCCUGGAC